UACGGGGGGGGCAAGCGUUGUUCGGAAUUACUGGGCGUAAAGGGCGCGUAGGCGGCCUUCUAAGUUGAUCGUGAAAUCCCCGGGCUCAACCCGGGAACUGCGUCCGAUACUGGAAGGCUUGAAUCCGGGAGAGGGAUGUGGAAUUCCAGGUGUAGCGGUGAAAUGCGUAGAUAUCUGGAGGAACACCGGUGGCGAAGGCGACAUCCUGGACCGGUAUUGACGCUGAGGCGCGAAAGCCAGGGGAGCAAACGGG
rnacentral:rRNA from 1 species